AGUGAACGCUGGCGGUAGGCCUAACACAUGCAAGUCGAACGGCAGCACAGUAAGAGCUUGCUCUUACGGGUGGCGAGUGGCGGACGGGUGAGGAAUACAUCGGAAUCUACUUUUUCGUGGGGGAUAACGUAGGGAAACUUACGCUAAUACCGCAUACGACCUACGGGUGAAAGCAGGGGAUCUUCGGACCUUGCGCGAUUGAAUGAGCCGAUGUCGGAUUAGCUAGUUGGCGGGGUAAAGGCCCACCAAGGCGACGAUCCGUAGCUUGUCUGAGAGGAUGAUCAGCCACACUGGAACUGAGACACGGUCCAGACUCCUACGGGAGGCAGCAGUGGGGAAUAUUGGACAAUGGGCGCAAGCCUGAUCCAGCCAUACCGCGUGGGUGAAGAAGGCCUUCGGGUUGUAAAGCACUUUUGUUGGGAAAGAAAAGCAGCAGGUUAAUACCCCGCUGUUCUGACGGUACCCAAAGAAUAAGCACCGGCUAACUUCGUG
rnacentral:rRNA from 1 species